UCGUGUCGUGAGAUGUUGGGUUAAGUCCGCAACGAGCGCAACCCUUGCCUUUAGUUGCCAUCAUUCAGUUGGGCACUCUAAAGAGACUGCCGGUGUCAAACCGGAGGAAGGUGGGGAUGACGUCAAGUCCUCAUGGCCUUUAUGACCAGGGCUACACACGUACUACAAUGGCCGGUACAGAGUGACGCGAAGCCGCGAGGUGGAGCAAAUCGCAGAAAGCCGGCCUUAGUUCGGAUUGGAGUCUGAAACUCGACUCCAUGAAGGUGGAAUCGCUAGUAAUCGCGCAUCAGCAUGGCGCGGUGAAUACGUUCCCGGGCCUU
rnacentral:rRNA from 1 species